rnacentral:lncRNA from 1 species
AAAUGUUUGUCUACAAUUUAAGGCAAUCCUGAUCUCCUGUAGCGCGAGUACUUUCACUUGCAACCUCCAGCCACAUCUGAAAAUCUGGCAGGGCUGUCCACAUGGUUGAGGUGGACGAAGAUAAAUUGCAAGAAAAGUAUUCGAAGCAGUGGAGAGAUCUCCAUCAUUUGUUGCUCGCUAAGCACUUCGCAGGUACGUAAAGGGACGAAAGUAAAGCAUUCCAUUGUCUCCAUCGUUGGUACAAGGCAAGCACGACACAUGUUGCUUUUUGUGCAGUCUUCCUGCUGUCUCGCAGGUCAGGAUUGCAAAAAGACUUAUUCUGUCGAAAAUCUACAAGUGAAGGAGUUUGAGGAACCGCCUCUCAAGAAGUUUGUCACAGCACCACGAUUGAGAGAAGACCUAGCAAAGUA